CUGGUUGAUCCUGCCAGUAGUCAUAUGCUUGUCUCAAAGAUUAAGCCAUGCAAGUCUAUGUAUAAAUCUUUAUACGGUGAAACUGCGAAUGGCUCAUUAUAUCAGUUAUCGUUUAUUUGAUAAUCACUGCUACUUGGAUAACUGUAGUAAUUCUAGAGCUAAUACAUGCGUCAAUGCCCGACUUUGGAAGGGCUGUGUUUAUUAGAUCCAAAACCAAUGCGGGGCAACCCGGUUACUGGUGAUUCAUAAUAACCUAUCGGACCGAAUGGCCUUGCGCCGUCGGUGCAUCAUUCAAAUUUCUGCCCUAUCAAUUUGUUGGUAGUAUAUAGGACUACCAAGAUGAUUACGGGUAACGGAGAAUUAGGGUUUGAUUCCGGAGAGGGAGCCUGAGAAACGGCUACCACAUCUAAGGAAGGCAGCAGGCGCGCAAAUUCCCCAAUCUCGACAUGAGGAGGGAGUGACAAGAAAUAUUAAUGCUGGGUUUUACUUGGCAAUUAAAAUGAGAACAAUUUAAAACUCUUAUCGAGUAUCCAUUGGAGGGCAAGUCUGGU
rnacentral:rRNA from 1 species